rnacentral:rRNA from 1 species
AUGCCGUCGCCGAAAAGACAUGUUGCACUCCAUGGAGUCCCCAUCCUCAUGCGGCGUUGGACUAGCCUCUCCUUCGCCUCCUCGCACGUCAACCGCUACAGCGUGCGCCUCUUCCUAGAGGACCUGCCGUCGCACGCCUGGUCAAUCAACAGGGUCCAAAGGAUGCUGCCGGAGUGCCUCAUCUAUCGCAUCACCACCGAGACACUCGACAAGGAAGAUCUCUCCUACUUUGUGGCCACGGCGUGGGUCGAGGACCUGGAGGAGGUGCCCACGGUCGCCACAUUGACGGUGCAUGGCGAGCCAAGGCCGUGCUCUAACCCGCUAGCGCAUUCCUCUAUGCCGGUGGGCUUCUCAGAAGAGGGUGGCAUGGACGACACCUGCGCUUGCACCGACCACAUCCCGCGGCUACUCCACCACAAGGUCCUAGUUCACUUGGACUCAGUGGCCUACUACCCGACCAGGCCGGCAGGGGCGGUGAGGCGUACGGGACCUCGCGGUGAUCACGACAAGCGUGACGACACGGGCGAUGGCCCGCCACCAGAAGAGCACCCCAUGCCCUGGGCGCGUGGCUUCGCUGCCAAUGACUACACGCACUACCAACAGAUGCAACCAAGGCCCGUCUGCGAGCGACGUCAGGCUAGUGGGCGGGGCGGUGGUGAUGGCGACCGGUAUCGCGCCUGCGAUGCGGCCGGCGACGCGCCAAUCACAGUGUCGAUACAAGCUCCCAACCCUAACAUCGUCAGCGCGGUGGCCGUCAAAACCGCACAUGCCCAGCUGUUGGUCAGUGCGCAUGUUGACAUCGUCUCCUCGGCAGGUGACGACGCGGCGGCACCCCGUGGCCACGUGAUGGAGCUGCCCCAGCCGGAGCCAACACAGGAGCAUGAGCAGCAUGCUCAUGUAGCUGCCUCGGUCACCAAACAAAGAGGCAGGGCUGACCGGCAGCUUGCCCUGCCAAUGAUAAGCUCCCUGCGCGAGGCUCCUUCAUCUUUGGAUAGCGAACUGCGCCCUGCCACUACUGCUCCUGCGCUGUCGGCAGCCGGGAGCUGGGUGCCCUAUCAGCAGCCAUGGUGCUGCGGCCUGCUGCAUGUGCUUCCCAGGAUCAGUCGCCUCCCCUGGUCAACCGUAGCCCCCCGAAGCGCUCUUGAAUACCCCUAA